rnacentral:lncRNA from 1 species
UGAUAGUUAUAGUGAGGUCAUGGUGGCUUUGGCCUUGGGGAUAGGAACGAAGGAGGUACGUCAUUGUUAGACUUCGAUGAGGCUUUUGAGCUGGUGAUUGCGAACUCAACUUUUCCGAAGAGGGAGGAGCAUUUGAUUACUUUCCGAAGUUCAUUGGCGAAGACGCAGAUCGAUUACCUCCUCCUUAGAAGGUGUGAUAGAGGGUUGUGCAAGGAUUGCAAGGCUAUCCCGGGAGAGACCCUCGCGACGCAGCAUAGGCUCUUAGUGAUGGACAUUAGCAUUAUGAUGAAGAGGAAGAAGAGGUAUGCUCGUGGCCGUCCGAGGAUUAGAUGGGGAACGUUGACUAAGGAUAAAGCCCAGGAAUUGGAGGGGCGGUUAUCGGCUAUGGGAGCUUGGAGGAGUAAUGGAGACGCGAGCACUAUGUGGUCGACUACGGCGAACUAUGUGAGGGAGGCGGCGAGGGAGGGGCUAGGUGUUGAAGGGACAUGAAGUUUUUUCGGCUGGCUAAGGCGAGGGAGAUGAAGGCCCGAGAUAUGGACCAAGUGAGGUGCAUCAAAGAUGAGGAUGGUAGAGUUUUGAUGGGAGAUGCCCAGAUUAAGCAAAGAUGGCAGACGUACUUCUAUGGUUUUUUAAAUGAAGAGGGGGACCGGGAUAUAGCGCUCUGGGACUUGGGGCAUUCAGAGAUUCCCUGAGAUUUUAGGUAUUGCAGGCGCAUUAGGGUUGACGAGAUCGUUGGGGCUUUGCGUAAGAUGAGUAGGGGUAAAGCAACCGAGCCAGAUGAAAUCCCGGUUGAGUUUUGGAAGUAUGUGGGGAGAGCGGGAUUGGAAUGGCUAACUCGGUUUUUCAAUGUGAUCUUUAGGACGAAAAGGAUGCCGGAGGAAUGGAGGUCGAGUACAGUAGUACCAUUGUACAAGAACAAAGGUGAUAUCCAGUGUUGUAACAAUUAUAGGGGUAUCAAGCUACUUAGCCAUUGUUGUUCAAUGUGAUCUUUAGGACGAAAACGAUGCCGGAGGAAUUGAGGUCGAGUACAGUAGUGCCGUUGUACAAGAACAAAGGUGAUAUCCAGUGUUGUAACAAUUAUAGGGGUAUCAAGCUACUUAGCCAUGCCAUGAAAGUAUGAGAGAGGGUGAUGGAGGCGAGGGUGAGGAAGUCGACGUCUAUAUCCGACCAGUUUGGGUUUAUGCCGGGCUGCUCCACCACGGAAGCUAUCCACCUUAUUAGGAGGUUGGUGGAGCAGUACAGGGAUAAGAAGAAGGAUCUGCAUAUGGUGUUUAUUGACUUGGAGAAAGNNN